ACUGGGAACUGAGAACACGGCCCAGAACUCCUACGGGAGGCAGCAGUAGGGAAUCUUCCACAAUGGGCGAAAGCCUGAUGGAGCAACGCCGCGUGAGUGAAGAAGGAUUUCGGUUCGUAAAACUCUGUUGUAAGGGAAGAACAAGUACAGUAGUAACUGGCUGUACCUUGACGGUACCUUAUUAGAAAGCCACGGUAGGC
rnacentral:rRNA from 1 species